ensembl:snRNA U5 U5 spliceosomal RNA
ACACUCAUGUUUCUCUUCAUAUCGUACAAAUCUUUCGCCUUUUACUAAAGAUUUCCGUGGAGAGGGGCACAAUGAGUAUAAAUCAAAUUUUUUGAUGCCCUGCUUAAAUGUGGGGCU